rnacentral:misc_RNA from 1 species
AACACCUGCUCAGGCUCAAGAGGUAAGCCUGAAAUGGACGGGUUAUUUAGUCAAUGUAAUGCUUCUGAAUUUGAUGGGUAUUUAAAUUCUGUGGAUUCUGUGUAUACUUGGAUCUUAUAAGUUGAUUCUGAAGGGUUUGUUUGUAACUUACAGAACUCUUCUCCAUGUGAGAAUGACACAUCAACAGAGACUUUUUUUUUCUUGCCAAUCGUAAAAUAAUUUGCUUCUGUCAUUUACAAAACUCUAUGUUUCAUUGUUGAUUAAUGUUAUGCUAAUUCAUGAUUUGUGUCUCUGAUGCUCUAGCAACUUAUAACCCUUAUUCAUGUUAGUGUAUAAUUAGUUUAUGCAUAGGGCACAUUGAUUUUAAUGUGAAGCACCUUAAGUACUUAUUGAAGCUGAUUGCUUUUACUACAUUUGAUUGAUAAAUGUGCUAGGUCCAUUUGGAAUUGAGGAA